rnacentral:lncRNA from 1 species
AAAUUGUACCAGCAGGGUUUCCGCUGGCGGUCGCCAUUUUCGCAAUUUGCGAAAAAAUAAUAAUUGUGGCGAUAAAAAUUCGUCAUUUGCGAAAGAAUUUGGCGAAAGAAAUAUAUAAACCGAUCUAUUUUCCUCCAUCUUGUUUAUUUACUUUUUUUCGAGUUUCUCGGACUUUACCUGAUCAGACAAUACUCGGAAUUCAUCUUGACCUCAUUAAGAUUUAGACAGAAAAUCAAUAAUCAGCUGAUUGCAUUUUAUAGCUAUCGACAACAAAGGACUAAUUAAUAAAGGUGUUGAUUGAAUUGUUUCACAAAAUGAUAUGGUCAAAUGGCUUCCGCUAUAAAUGUCACAUACAGAAUUUAUUUACAUCUUUGCGACGCACGUGUUUGAAGCAAACUUUUGACAUCUCUCCCUUUAAAGAUAGUUUUGAAAAGAAAGCUGUUGUUGUGACGAAAAUUGUUCAAAAGCAAGAAAAAUCUCCGAUUUAAAACUUUAAUUCUUUUAUCCUUUGACUUUAAUAAAGUCGUUUGAGUGACACAUGCACGUGUUUCAAGCAUAGUUGUACAUCUCAACUUUUUCAUUUACGAUGGUCAAGAAAAGAAAACUGUCGUUAUGAAAAAAUCUAUCCAAAAGGCUGUGAACAACAUCUCGAAUGAGAGUAACCCUUCAAUGUAAUGACUACACAUGAAAUGAGGGAUCAAUUUCAUGUGAUAAAAGCUUUUGUUUUGUUGUAAAAAUUACUUCUUAGUACAAAAGGGCACAACAGGAAAAAUAUCUUUAUGUUACUUGGCGAAAAAAAUAAUAAAGUGGCGAAAAAUAUAUUGUUUUGGCGAAAGAGGUGGCAAAAAAAAUAAUUGACCCAGGGGAAACCCUGGUACCUACA